rnacentral:lncRNA from 1 species
CCUGCUGAGGAUGAAGAGCCCUCCUCUGAGUUCAACUUGCCUCCCAGUUGCCAUGGUUACCUUUCUGGUUUCCAGACAGAAACUUUCUGAAGUUCACAAUGUAUCCAGACUUCUCUUCCCAGCAGAUCCUUUAGAGCAAUCAUCUACUCUAAACAUACUUCACUUAUCCAAGCGCUUUGAAGCCCUCAGUUGGGAGUCUGGAAUUUCACACGCAAGGGCUCAUCUAAUGCUCACUAGGACUUGUCCUCCACCCCCCAUCUGUGCACUUUAUUGAUAACAGCAGGAUUGUGACCUGGACCCUUAGCUCUGCUCCUACUCUGGCCUUUACCAGAGUCUAUCGCUGUUGUUUCCACCACGGCCCACAGGCUGAUGCAUCCUCCACUCAGGUCAGAACCUGUAUUUCCACCUGAAAUUUAGAUGUCUUCAUAUGUAACUUAUCUGAAGUUGAUUUGAUGUCUUCCAUGCAUCUUCCCACAUCCGAUGUCACUGCAUGGGUGGCAUUAACAAACAAUAGUGCUUCUGUUCGGCUGCCUUUGAAAACCAUCUGGGUUUUUUUGAAAGCCAUGCUUGUAAGUCCAGCGCUCUGCAAGUGGGGACAGGAGAAGCUUGAGGUCAUUUUUGGCGCUCUCUCUCUCUCUCUCUCUCUCUCUCUCACACACACACACACACACACACUCACACUCAAGAGCACGUGCCAUGGUGCAUAUAUAGAGGUCAGAAGACAACCUCAGUUGUGGCUUCUCGAUUGCCACCUUGUUUGAGGCAGUGUCUUUUUAUUGUUUGCCACUGUGUCCACCAGACUAGCUACCCCUACAAGCUCGCAGGGGUCCCCCGUCUCGGCUUUCAAUCUCUUUGUAGCAACAAAGGGACUGCAGAUGUAUACUACCAUGCCUGGCUUUGACAUGAGUCCCGGGGAUCCGAACUUGAGUCUUCAGCUUGUACAAUAAGCAUUUUAUCAGCGGAUCUAUCUCCUAAGCCCAGAGAU